rnacentral:rRNA from 1 species
CCUACGGGUGGCAGCAGUGGGGGAUAUUGCACAAUGGGGGGAACCCUGAUGCAGCGACGCCGCGUGGGUGAAGGAGUGCUUCGGCAUGUAAAGCCCUAUCGGCAGGGAAGAAGCAAGACGGUACCUGACUAAGAAGCCCCGGCUAACUACGUGCCAGCAGCCGCGGUAAUACGUAGGGGGCGAGCGUUAUCCGGAUUCACUGGGUGUAAAGGGAGCGUAGACGGCCAAACAAGCCAGGGGUGAAAUCGCGGGGCUCAACCCCGCCGAGCCGUCGGAACUGGGGGCCUUGAGUGCGGCGGAGGCAUGCGGAAUGCGCGGUGUAGCGGUGAAAUGCAUAGAUAUCGCGCAGAACCCCGAUUGCGAAGGCAGCGUGCCGUGCCGCCACUGACGCUGAGGCACGAAAGCGCGGGGAUCGAACAGGAUUAGAUACCCUAGUAGUC